rnacentral:rRNA from 1 species
CCUACGGGAGGCAGCAGUGAGGAAUAUUGGUCAAUGGACGAGAGUCUGAACCAGCCAAGUAGCGUGAAGGAUGACUGCCCUAUGGGUUGUAAACUUCUUUUAUAAGGGAAUAAAAUGGUCCACGUGUGGGAUUUUGUAUGUACCAUAUGAAUAAGGAUCGGCUAACUCCUGUCCAGCAGCCUCGGUCAUACGGGGGAUCCGAGCGUUAUCCGGAUUUAUUGGGGUUAAAGGGAGCGUAGGUGGAUUGUUAAGUCAGUUGUGAAAGUUUGCGGCUCAACCGUAAAAUUGCAGUUGAAACUGGCAGUCUUGAGUACACUAGAGGUAGGCGGAAUUCGUGGUGUAGCGGUGAAAUGCUUAGAUAUCACGAAGAACUCCGAUUGCGAAGGCAGUUCACUGGACUGCAACUGACACUGAGGCUCGAAAGUGUGGGUAUCAAACAGGAUUAGAUACCCGUGUAGUC